rnacentral:rRNA from 1 species
CCUACGGGCGGCUGCAGUGAGGAAUAUUGGUCAAUGGGCGGGAGCCUGAACCAGCCAAGCAGCGUGAGGGAUGAAGGUACUGCGUAUUGUAAACUUCUUUUGUCAGGGAAUAAAGUCGGGCACUAGUGCCUGUUUGUAUGUACUUUAUGAAAAAGCAUCGGCUAACUCCGUGCCAGCAGCCGCGGUAAUACGGAGGAUGCGAGCGUUAUCCGGAUUUAUUGGGUUUAAAGGGUGCGUAGAUGGGUUGUUAAGUCAGUUGGGAAAGUUUGCGGCCCAACCGCAAAAUUGCAAUUGAUACUGGCGGUCUGGAGUAGAGGUGAGGUAGGCGGAAUGCGCGGUGUAGCGGUGAAAUGCUUAGAGAUCACACAGAACCCCGAUUGCGAAGGCAGCGUACCAAGUUACCUCUGACGCUGAGGCACGAAAGCGUGGGUAGUAAACAGGAUUAGAUACCCGUGUAGUC